UACGUAGGGGCCGAGCGUUGUCCGGAUUCAUUGGGCGUAAAGAGCGUGUAGGCGGCCGCUUAAGUCCUGCGUGAAAUCUCGGAGCUCAACUCCGAGCGGUCGUGGGAAACUGGGCGGCUAGAGUGCGGAAGAGGGAAGCGGAAUUUCCGGUGUAGCGGUGAAAUGCGUAGAUAUCGGAAGGAACACCAGUGGCGAAAGCGGCUUCCUGGUCCAGCACCGACGUUCAGGCACGAAAGCGUGGGGAGCAAACAGG
rnacentral:rRNA from 1 species